AGUAGUGAAGUAAAAAAUUACAUUUAGUUUCGACCUAAAAAUAAGAGAUUUCCCCUCCUUACUU
rnacentral:tRNA from 1 species